rnacentral:rRNA from 1 species
GUGAGGAAUUUUCCGCAAUGGGCGAAAGCCUGACGGAGCAAUGCCGCGUGAAGGAUGAAGGCCUAUGGGUUGUAAACUUCUUUUCUUAGAGAAGAAUAUUGACGGUAUCUGAGGAAUAAGCAUCGGCUAACUCUGUGCCAGCAGCCGCGGUAAGACAGAGGAUGCAAGCGUUAUCCGGAAUGAUUGGGCGUAAAGCGUCUGUAGGUGGCUUCAAAAGUCUCCUGUCAAAGAUCAGGGCUUAACUCUGGGCCGGCAGGAGAAACUCUGAGGCUAGAGUUUGGUAGGGGCAGAGGGAAUUCCCGGUGAAGCAGUGAAAUGCGUAGAGAUCGGGAGGAACACCAAAGGCGAAAGCACUCUGCUGGGCCACAACUGACACUGAGAGACGAAAGCGAGGGGAGCAAAAGGGAUUAGAAACCCCUGUAGUCC